UACGUAGGUGGCAAGCGUUGUCCGGAUUUACUGGGCGUAAAGGAUGCGUAGGUGGAUAUUUAAGUGGGAUGUGAAAUACCCGGGCUCAACUUGGGUGCUGCAUUCCAAACUGGAUAUCUAGAGUGCAGGAGAGGAAAGUGGAAUUCCUAGUGUAGCAGUGAAAUGCGUAGAUAUUAGGAGGAACACCAGUGGCGAAGGCGGCUUUCUGGACUGUAACUGACACUGAGGCAUGAAAGCGUGGGGAGCAAACAGGAUUAGAAACCCCAGUAGUCC
rnacentral:rRNA from 1 species